AAGCCAAAUAAGCUUGCUUGAGUUCUCUUAUCUUAGCUAGGGGUUCCAUAAAAAAAUUUGGGAAAGAUGAUGAAAAAGAUGAUAUUUUAUUAUUUAAUUAACUUAUCAUCUUUUAUUAUUUCAACUUUCUAAUUUAGUCCUUUUUUAUCAAAUUUUCCAUAGGUGAAUCAUCAUACUUAUCUACUAUCUCCUCUUAAUAGUCUAUUUGUCAUAUAAGGACCUCCAAUUUUGAAUUCCAUAGCUAUUUGAUCCUUUUAGCUACUAGAAUUCAAUUUUUGCAUUUUAUGCAAUUUGGUCCUUUUAUCAAUUAAUCAUGUAAUCAAUAAAAUUUUCUUAACAAAAUUUUUAUACGAUAUUCCUAUCAUAAUGCAGACCAUAAAACAAUAUUAAAGUAAAUUUUCUUUCAGACUUGAAUUUGUGGUCCCGAAACCACUGUUCUGAUUUCAUUGAAAACGAGUUAUUACAUAUGGAAACUACCAAGCUGGAGUACAAUAGAGACAAAGGGAAUUUACGGUGAAGCGAUGAAAUGUGUAGGGAUCGAUAAUAACACCAAUGACGAAAGCAUUUUGCUGGGCCGACAUUGACACUGAAAGAAAAAAGUUCGGGAGUGAAUGGGAUUAGAUACCCCUGUAGUCUUAGCUGUAAAUGAUGGAUACUAAGCGCUAUGCGUAUUGACUCGUGAAAUGCUGUAGCUAACGCGUUAAGUAUCCUAACUGGGGAGUACGUUCGCAAGAAUGAAACUCAAAGGAAUUGACAGGGGCCUGCACAAGCGGUGGAGCAUGUAGUUUAAUUCGAUUCAAAUCGAAGAACCUUACCAGGGCUUGACAUGCCACGAAUCCUCUUGAAAGAGAGGGGUGCCUUAAGGAAUACAGACACAGGUGGUGCAUUGUUGUCGCCAGCUUGUGCCGUAAAGUGUUGGGUUAAGUCCCACAAUCCUCGUGUUUAGUUUCCACAGUAAGUUUGAAACCUUGAGCAAACUGUCAGUGAUAAGUCGAAGGAAGAUGAGGAUGACGUCAAGUUAGCAUGCCCCUUAUGCCUUAGGUGACACACGUGCUACAAUGGAUGGGACAAAGGGUCGCAAUCCUGCAAGGAUGAGCUAACUCCAAAAACCCGUUCGCAAUUUGGAUUGCAGGCUACAACUCACCUGCAUGAAGCCGGAAUCGCUAGUAAUCGUCUGUCAGCCAUACGACAGUGAAUUCGUUCCUGGGGCUUGUACACACCGCCUGUCACACUACGGGAACUAGUCAUGCCCAAAGUUGCUACCUUAACCACAAGGAGAAGGAUGCCGAAGGUAAGGCUAAUGACUGGAGUGAAAUCGUAACAAAGUACCCUUAUUAUAUUAUAAAAAAA
rnacentral:rRNA from 1 species